ensembl:lncRNA
GCACGGGAGCGGCCGUGGGGUCGGCGUGCCGCCGGAUCCGUUCGGCGGGCAGCGUCCGUGAGCGGCACGAGAGCUGAAGCGCCUGCCGGGCGCUUGCGGGACGGCGCUCGGGAAGCGGCGCUCAGAGAAAGGCGCCUUUCCGCCCGCCGCCGUUCGUCCCGAGGCUGCAAAGAACGGGACGCGAGCGCGUACCGACAGCCGCGCGCCGCGUCCACCCGCAGCUUCUUGAAGGCCGUCCGCAGGCUCCGCUCGGCGUCGGCGUCGGCGUCGGCCUCGUCCCGCUCCUCCUCGCCGCGCCGCCGCUCCUCCUCCGCCGCCGGCUCCGCGGGCGGACGCUCGGCGCGGUGCCACGCGCUGCCGGCCGCGACGCGGCGAGCGGGGACGACCGUUAGCGGCCUUUCCGUCCCCGCACGGCCGGCCCCGCACGUCCCCGAGUCCCGCGGAGCCCCGCCGGCCGCGCCGCCCGAGGCGCGGGGAGGAGCCGCCCGCAGCCAAUGGCCGCCGCGCACGGCGGGAAGCGGGGCGAGCGCCGCGCUGGAGGAGCGCGCAUGCGCGGCGCCGGGCCGGGGCCGCUUCCGGCUGAGGGCCCGCAUCCGGGCGGCGCCGGGCCGCGGAGAGGCGAAGCGGCGAAGCGGCGAAGAGGCGGAGAGCGGUGAGCGCGGAGAGCCGGAGAGCCGUGAGCGUCCGUUGGGCUCCGUCCGCGUCGGCGUCGGCGGGCGCUGCGGGUUCGGUGCGGGCGCGCGGCGGUCCGCGAGGGGUCGGGCGGGACGGCGCUGCGCCUCGAGGCGCGGCCUGGUGCCGGCGGCGCCGCUCCGUCAGGCGAACCUCGCGGCGCGCUUUGGUGGAUGUGCUGCGGUUGGAGAGCUGCUCCUGCCGCCGUUUUCUUUCCGACGCGAAGGAGGGGCUCCGGUCGGGUAUCGGCGAAGGGUUCUUCGCUGCGGGGCGGCGGGCGUGGGACAGACCGCCCGGGGCGGCGGUCGCAGCACUGAGGUGUGCGAGCCGGAGAGGCGUCGGGACGAGGAUCUCGGACGGAGGAUGAGGAAGACAGAACUUUAGCUAGGAAGAUUUCUGGAAGCCUUGGGACGUGUUAACAACGAGCUUUGCAAACACUGCCAAACUUCAGAACAAAGCCUGGAAGGUGUUUGAACGCCAAAUUGCAGUGAAAGCGGCAUGGAGGAGUAGAAUGGCCACAGCAGAAACUGAAAGAUCGCACAGCAGUCAUUUGAUUUACAGAGCUUUUGUUACGGUCUUCAGAGACUGUAGUGCAUAUUCUUUUUUAUUUACUUAUUAAUUUGGGACUAAGGUUAGCAAGCAAGUGUGGAUGUGCUGGAUGGAGCUCGAGCUGGAUGAGGCAGUGGCUGGGUGAUGGUGGCACUCAGAGCUGCAGUCAGCGGCUCAGUGUCCAAGCAGAGCACAGGGAGGAGUGGCGUUCCUCAGCGAUGGGAGCUGGCCCUGGUGGUGGGACCGGUGCCACUGAAUGUCUUUAUAGGCGAUGUGGACAGUGGGAUUGUGCGCACCCUCAUCAGGUUUGCCGGUGUUACCAAGCUGAGUGGUGUAGCUGGCACGCUAGAGGGAAGGGAUGCUAUCCAGAGGGAUCUGGAGAGACUUAGAGGUGGGCCCAUGGCAUCCUCAGGAAGUUCACCGAGGCCGAGAGCAAGGUCGUGCAUUUGGGUCGGGGCAAUCUCAAACACAGAUGCGGCUUAGGCAGAGGAUGGCUUGAGAGCGGCCCCGUGGAGAAGGAUUUGUUAGCGUGGCCUGAGGAGAGACUGAGCGUGAGCUGGCAAGGUGUGCUUGCUGCCCAGAAGGCCCACUGAGGCCUGGGUUGCAUCAAGAGAAGUGUGGCUACCAGGUUGAGGCGAUUGUGCCCCCCUUCUCUCAUGAGACCCCGCUUGGAGUACUGUCUGGUUCUGGAGCCCUCAGCACAAGGAGGACGUGGAGCUGUUGGAGCAGGUCCAGAGGGAGGCCAUGAAGAUGAUCAGAGGGCUGGAGCACCUCCCCUACAAGGACAGGGUGAGGGAGCUGGGGCAAUUCAGCUUGGGUAAAAGAAGGCCCUGAG